UACAGAGGGGGCAAGCGUUGUUCGGAAUUACUGGGCGUAAAGGGCGCGUAGGCGGCCUUCUAAGUCGAACGUGAAAUCCCUGGGCUCAACCCAGGAACUGCGUCCGAUACUGGGAGGCUUGAAUCCGGGAGAGGGAUGUGGAAUUCCAGGUGUAGCGGUGAAAUGCGUAGAUAUCUGGAGGAACACCGGUGGCGAAGGCGAGUCCCUGGACAAUUCCUGACACUGAGGCACGAAAGCUAGGGGAGCAAACAGG
rnacentral:rRNA from 1 species